GACGAACGCUGGCGGCAUGCCUAAUACAUGCAAGUCGAGCGGACAGAAGGGAGCUUGCUCCCGGAAGUCAGCGGCGGACGGGUGAGUAACACGUGGGCAACCUGCCCCUUAGAUUGGGAUAACUUCGGGAAACCGAAGCUAAUACCGAAUAAUACAAGGAACCUCCUGGUUCUCUGUUGAAAGAUGGCCUUUGUGCUGUCACUAAGGGAUGGGCCCGCGGCGCACUAGCUAGUUGGUAAGGUAACGGCUUACCAAGGCGACGAUGCGUAGCCGAACUGAGAGGGUGAUCAGCCACACUGGGACUGAGACACGGCCCAGACUUCUACGGAAGGCAGCAGUGGGGAAUAUUGGACAAUGGGCGAAAGCCUGAUCCAGCAAUGCCGCGUGAGUGAUGAAGGCCCUCGGGUUGUAAAGCUCUGUCGGGAGGGACGAAAAAGCGCGGGUAACGCCGUGACUUGACGGUACCUCCAAAGGAAGCACCGGCUAACUCUGUGCCAGCCGCCGCAGUAA
rnacentral:rRNA from 1 species